UACGGAGGGUGCGAGCGUUGUCCGGAAUCAUUGGGCGUAAAGGGCGCGUAGGUGGCUUCUUAAGCGUGCGGUGAAAGCCUGGGGCUCAACCCCGGGUCGGCCGUGCGAACUGGGGGGCUGGAGCACUGUAGAGGCAGGCGGAAUUCCGGGUGUAGCGGUGAAAUGCGUAGAGAUCGGGAGGAACACCAGAGGCGAAGGCGGCGACCUGGACAGGUACUGACACUCAACUACGAAAGCGUGGGGAGCAAACAGG
rnacentral:rRNA from 1 species